rnacentral:rRNA from 1 species
GACUUCUGGUUUAAUGCACCUGGCCCGCGGCUCUUUAGGCUUGUGAGUGCCGGCGCGCGUUUACCAUCCUUCUGACCCUUAACUGGGCCGGAUUCGGGAUCCAGAUCAUUUACUUUGAAAAAAUUAGAGUGUUUAAAGCAGAUGAAUACAUUAGCAUGGAAUAAUAAUCUAGGACUUCGGUUCUAUUUUGUUGGUUUCUAGAACUGAAGUAAUGAUUGAUAGGGAUAGUUGGGGUGCUAGUAUUGGCCGGUCAGAGGUGAAAUUCUUGGAUUCGGUCAAGACUAACUUAUGCGAAAGCAUU